UACAGAUGGGAUAGCUCAGCUGGUUGCUCUGGCACAGCUCUCAUUCAUGUCAAGGGAUUUGUGCAGGUGUGCUAUUUAGUACCAGACAGGGCACAUAAAAGGGCAUGUUGGGUUUUUUGAAAACAUCAUUGUGACCCAUAAAUAGUACCGUUAAGUAGAACAACGGGUGGAAACCUAGGAGUCCUCGAAUAAGAGGUUAGCACACUGAGGUACAGGGUCCCUCACAUGAAAAACACCAGGCCAGUGACUGGAAAAAAAGUUGGGGGGAAAACAAUGCAGAACUAAGGAACAGAUUCCUUCAGCACUGCUUACCUGGCUUGCAAUGUGGAAAUCACAUCAGAUAAAAACAAGCAGCAGCAGCAGCAGCAAAGAACUACAUCUUGCAGGAAUACUCUCCCUACAGAGUACCAAAGGAACCCCUCCCAUCAAAGGCAGGCAGGCAGGCAGGCAGGCAGAGCCUCUGGGAGCCAGAUGGCUGAAGAACUGCAUUAAGCAAAGCCAGCACCUCCUUGCUGUCUCAGCAAAAGGAAGGUUAUUGGAGAGAAACUGAACAGCAAGAGCAUGUGGGCAAGGACUGAGCUCCCUGCUAAAGCACAGAAGUGCCUAGUACACAUAAUUGUAUACUUAGGAGCCAUCAACCACUCAACUGCCCUCCCUAGCAAGUGGCACGAGAUCCUCCUUGUUGCACCAAUAUUUCCCCCCACCCUUUUCUCAUCCUCUAUUACAGCCAAGCUGGGGCUGAAGUCCAGCCAACCCUUCUCCACCAACCAGGCAACAGGCUCCCAGGAUUUAUCAUACCAGAUUUUGGGAUGUGAAAAGAAAAGCGAAAAGCCACACAGCUGCAAGAUCAGAUAUUUUAAAAACAACAAGGAUAAAAUGUCUGAACAAAUAAAAUAUGCAGUGCAAUUUUU